UAUAAUGCAGUCGAGCGGAAGAUGGGAGCUUGCUCCCUGAUGUUAGCGGCGGACGGGUGAGUAACACGUGGGUAACCUGCCUGUAAGACUGGGAUAACUCCGGGAAACCGGGGCUAAUACCGGAUGGUUGUUUGAACCGCAUGGUUCAAACAUAAAAGGUGGCUUCGGCUACCACUUACAGAUGGACCCGCGGCGCAUUAGCUAGUUGGUGAGGUAACGGCUCACCAAGGCGACGAUGCGUAGCCAACCUGAGAGGGUGAUCGGCCACACUGGGACUGAAACACGGCCCAAACCCCUACGGGAGGCAGCAGUAGGGAAUCUUCCGCAGUGGACGAAAGUCUGACGGAACACCGCCGCGUGAGUGAUGAAGGUUUUCGGAUCGUAAAGCUCUUUUGUUAGGGAAGAACAAGUACCGUUCGAAUAGGGCGGUACCUUGACGGUCCCUAACCAGAAGGCCACGGCUAAUUACGGGCAGGCACCAUACAA
rnacentral:rRNA from 1 species